UAACUUGUUCUUAAAGGAUUAGAAAGAGUGAUUACUAUAAAUUUUGAAUAAUUCUAGAUCACUCUACAUUCUCGAUAUCAUAAGAAAGAAUGAUUAAAGAGGAAUGCAUCUUUUGAGGGGGAGCUUUAGAUAUUCAGUAUCUUCCAAAAAUUACUUUAAUUAUAAGUUUAUACCUUGAGAUGAGUUCUAUAAAGGUUGUCUUAUCUCAAACCUUGAGUCUUAUGAAAAUAAGCUGAAACUUAUAGAAAAUAUAUUUUUGAGAUUGACAAUUUUAUUGAACAUUAUCUUCAAAUUCUGAACUCUUAAAUGGAAUGAUCAAUUGGGGGGGGGGAAAGAAAAUUUCAGAAGGAGAGGUCUUAUGGAACUUAAUCGCAUAAAUCUAUAACUAAAGGAGAGAGAAAGAAUACUAAAUGAAAAGUGAUCCUAAUACUCUCCAAUAUGUAUCAUCUGAAAUUUAAAUCUGAAAAUCUUUAUGAUACACCUUGAGGCAUGUUAUUUGGUUAAUAUAUCUUCUGCACAAAUCAUGAACCAAAUUG
rnacentral:lncRNA from 1 species